rnacentral:rRNA from 1 species
AAGGAGUGUAGCGUUUUUGCAAGAGUUAAAGUUAAUGAAACUUUUAAAACUCGAAAUGAAAGUAAUUAUUAAAUGGGAAAUAGAUUCACAUCUUUUGCACCAUUAACCGAUUUUGAAAAAUUUAUAUUGUAAAAAAUAUUUUGAUUGAUUUGAGUAAUAGUAAAACCGCUGUGACCCGAAAGACGGUGAACUAUGAGUGAGCAGGGCGAAGCCAGAGGAAACUCUGGUGGAGGCUCGAAGGGGUACUAACGUGCAAAUUGUUCUUCAGACUUGCUUAUAGGGGCGAAAGACUAAUCGAACCGUCUGGUAGCUGGUUCCCCGCGAAAUUUCCCCCAGGAUAGCUGGAGCUCGAACUAAUGAACAGUUUCAUCCGGUAAAGCGAAUGAUUAGAGGAACGGGGGUCGAAACGACCUUUGCCUAUUCUCAAAACUUUAAAUGGGUGAGAAAGUUGCAGUUGCUUAAACUAUUGAACUGACAAC